rnacentral:rRNA from 1 species
UACAGAGACCUCAAGCGUUAUCCGGAUUUACUGGGCGUAAAGCGUCUGUAGGCGGUUUGGUAAGUUGUGAGUUAAAGCUUCCGACUCAAUCGGGAAAAAGCUUGCAAUACUACCAUGCUAGAGACCGGGAGAGGCAGAUGGAAUUGCCGGUGUAACGGUAAAAUGUGUUAAUAUCGGCAGGAACACCAAAUGCGAAGGCAUUCUGCUAGAACGGUUCUGACGCUGAGAGACGAAAGCGUGGGGAGCGAAUAGG